rnacentral:rRNA from 1 species
AUAUCGGAACGUACCCAAGAGUGGGGGAUAACGUAGCGAAAGUUACGCUAAUACCGCAUACGAUCUAAGGAUGAAAGCAGGGGAUCUUCGGACCUUGUGCUCCUGGAGCGGCCGAUAUCUGAUUAGCUAGUUGGUGAGGUAAAGGCUCACCAAGGCGACGAUCAGUAGCUGGUCUGAGAGGACGACCAGCCACACUGGAACUGAGACACGGUCCAGACUCCUACGGGAGGCAGCAGUGGGGAAUAUUGCACAAUGGGCGAAAGCCUGAUGCAGCGACGCCGCGUGGGGGAUGACGGUCUU